CACGCCGUAAACGAUGAGUGCUAGAUGUUUCUGGUAUUGACCCCGGAGGCGUCGUAGCUAACGCGUUAAGCACUCCGCCUGGGGAGUACGGCCGCAAGGCUAAAACUCAAAGGAAUUGACGGGGGCCCGCACAAGCGGUGGAGCAUGUGGUUCAAUUCGACGCAACGCGAAGAACCUUACCUGGGUUGGAACCCUCCAGAAGUCCGCAGAGAUGUGGAUGUGCUCGCAAGAGAACUGGAUGUCCAGGUGC
rnacentral:rRNA from 1 species